UAGUGGCAGACGGGUGAGUAAUGCAUAGGAAUCUACCUAGUAGUAUAGGAUAGCCACUAGAAGUGGUGGGUAAUACUGUAUAAUCCCUGCGGGGGAAAGAUUUAUCGCUACAUGAUGAGCCUAUGUUAGAUUAGCUAGUUGGUGGGGUAAUGGCCUACCAAGGCAGUGAUCUAUAGCUGGUCUGAGAGGAUGAUCAGCCACACUGGAACUGAGACACGGUCCAGACUCCUACGGGAGGCAGCAGUGGGGAAUAUUGGACAAUGGGCGCAAGCCUGAUCCAGCUAUGCCGCGUGAGUGAGGAAGGCCUUAGGGUUGUAAAACUCUUUCAGUGGGGAAGAUAAUGACGGUACCCACAGAAGAAGUCCCGGCAAACUCCGUGCCAGCAGCCGCGGUAAUACGGAGGGGGCAAGCGUUGUUCGGAAUUAUUGGGCGUAAAGGGCAUGUAGGUGGUUUGGUAAGUUAAAGGUGAAAUGCCAGGGCUUAACCCUGGAGCUGCUUUUAAUACUGCCAGACUGGAGUCCGGGAGA
rnacentral:rRNA from 1 species